rnacentral:rRNA from 1 species
AGUAAUAUAUCGGAACGUGCCCAGUCGUGGGGGAUAACGUAGCGAAAGCUACGCUAAUACCGCAUACGAUCUAUGGAUGAAAGCGGGGGAUCGCAAGACCUCGCGCGAUUGGAGCGGCCGAUAUCAGAUUAGGUAGUUGGUGAGGUAAAGGCUCACCAAGCCGACGAUCUGUAGCUGGUCUGAGAGGACGACCAGCCACACUGGAACUGAGACACGGUCCAGACUCCUACGGGAGGCAGCAGUGGGGAAUUUUGGACAAUGGACGCAAGUCUGAUCCAGCCAUUCCGCGUGCAGGAUGAAGGCCCUCGGGUUGUAAACUGCUUUGUACGGAACGAAAAGGUUUCUCUUAAUACGAGGAGCUCAUGACGGUACCGUAAGAAUAAGCACCGGCUAACUACGUG